UUUUGUAUAAUGGGUCAGCGACUUAUAUUCUGUAGCAAGGUUAACCGAAUAGGGGAGCCGAAGGGAAACCGAGUCUUAACUGGGCGUUAAGUUGCAGGGUAUAGACCCGAAACCCGGUGAUCUAGCCAUGGGCAGGUUGAAGGUUGGGUAACACUAACUGGAGGACCGAACCGACUAAUGUUGAAAAAUUAGCGGAUGACUUGUGGCUGGGGGUGAAAGGCCAAUCAAACCGGGAGAUAGCUGGUUCUCCCCGAAAGCUAUUUAGGUAGCGCCUCGUGAAUUCAUCUCCGGGGGUAGAGCACUGUUUCGGCAAGGGGGUCAUCCCGACUUACCAACCCGAUGCAAACUGCGAAUACCGGAGAAUGUUAUCACGGGAGACACACGGCGGGUGCUAACGUCCGUCGUGAAGAGGGAAACAACCCAGACCGCCAGCUAAGGUCCCAAAGUCAUGGUUAAGUGGGAAACGAUGUGGGAAGGCCCAGACAGCCAGGAUGUUGGCUUAGAAGCAGCCAUCAUUUAAAGAAAGCGUAAUAGCUCACUGGUCGAGUCGGCCUGCGCGGAAGAUGUAACGGGGCUAAACCAUGCACCGAAGCUGCGGCAGCGACGCUUAUGCGUUGUUGGGUAGGGGAGCGUUCUGUAAGCCUGUGAAGGUGUACUGUGAGGUAUGCUGGAGGUAUCAGAAGUGCGAAUGCUGACAUAAGUAACGAUAAAGCGGGUGAAAAGCCCGCUCGCCGGAAGACCAAGGGUUCCUGUCCAACGUUAAUCGGGGCAGGGUGAGUCGACCCCUAAGGCGAGGCCGAAAGGCGUAGUCGAUGGGAAACAGGUUAAUAUUCCUGUACUUGGUGUUACUGCGAAGGGGGGACGGAGAAGGCUAUGUUGGCCGGGCGACGGUUGUCCCGGUUUAAGCGUGUAGGCUGGUUUUCCAGGCAAAUCCGGAAAAUCAAGGCUGAGGCGUGAUGACGAGGCACUACGGUGCUGAAGCAACAAAUGCCCUGCUUCCAGGAAAAGCCUCUAAGCAUCAGGUAACAUCAAAUCGUACCCCAAACCGACACAGGUGGUCAGGUAGAGAAUACCAAGGCGCUUGAGAGAACUCGGGUGAAGGAACUAGGCAAAAUGGUGCCGUAACUUCGGGAGAAGGCACGCUGAUAUGUAGGUGAAGCGACUUGCUCGUGGAGCUGAAAUCAGUCGAAGAUACCAGCUGGCUGCAACUGUUUAUUAAAAACACAGCACUGUGCAAACACGAAAGUGGACGUAUACGGUGUGACGCCUGCCCGGUGCCGGAAGGUUAAUUGAUGGGGUUAGCGGUAACGCGAAGCUCUUGAUCGAAGCCCCGGUAAACGGCGGCCGUAACUAUAACGGUCCUAAGGUAGCGAAAUUCCUUGUCGGGUAAGUUCCGACCUGCACGAAUGGCGUAAUGAUGGCCAGGCUGUCUCCACCCGAGACUCAGUGAAAUUGAACUCGCUGUGAAGAUGCAGUGUACCCGCGGCAAGACGGAAAGACCCCGUGAACCUUUACUAUAGCUUGACACUGAACAUUGAGCCUUGAUGUGUAGGAUAGGUGGGAGGCUUUGAAGUGUGGACGCCAGUCUGCAUGGAGCCGACCUUGAAAUACCACCCUUUAAUGUUUGAUGUUCUAACGUUGGCCCCUGAUCGGGGUUGCGGACAGUGUCUGGUGGGUAGUUUGACUGGGGCGGUCUCCUCCUAAAGAGUAACGGAGGAGCACGAAGGUUGGCUAAUCCUGGUCGGACAUCAGGAGGUUAGUGCAAUGGCAUAAGCCAGCUUGACUGCGAGCGUGACGGCGCGAGCAGGUGCGAAAGCAGGUCAUAGUGAUCCGGUGGUUCUGAAUGGAAGGGCCAUCGCUCAACGGAUAAAAGGUACUCCGGGGAUAACAGGCUGAUACCGCCCAAGAGUUCAUAUCGACGGCGGUGUUUGGCACCUCGAUGUCGGCUCAUCACAUCCUGGGGCUGAAGUAGGUCCCAAGGGUAUGGCUGUUCGCCAUUUAAAGUGGUACGCGAGCUGGGUUUAGAACGUCGUGAGACAGUUCGGUCCCUAUCUGCCGUGGGCGCUGGAGAACUGAGGGGGGCUGCUCCUAGUACGAGAGGACCGGAGUGGACGCAUCACUGGUGUUCGGGUUGUCAUGCCAAUGGCACUGCCCGGUAGCUAAAUGCGGAAGAGAUAAGUGCUGAAAGCAUCUAAGCACGAAACUUGCCCCGAGAUGAGU
rnacentral:rRNA from 1 species